GCACUGCUGAGGAGUCCCAUAAUAAGACAAAACGACCGUCCAGUGC
rnacentral:hammerhead_ribozyme from 1 species